UGAACUAUUCUAGUUUGCCAACGCUGAGCA
rnacentral:piRNA from 1 species